AGUCGAGCGAGUCUGCCUUGAAGAUCGGAGUGCUUGCACUCUGUGAAACAAGAUACAGGCUAGCGGCGGACGGGUGAGUAACACGUGGGUAACCUGCCCAAGAGAUCGGGAUAACACCUGGAAACAGAUGCUAAUACCGGAUAACAACAGAUGAUGCCUAUCAACUGUUUAAAAGAUGGUUCUGCUAUCACUCUUGGAUGGACCUGCGGUGCAUUAGCUAGUUGGUAGGGUAACGGCCUACCAAGGCGAUGAUGCAUAGCCGAGUUGGGAGACUGAUCGGCCACAUUGGGACUGAGACACGGCCCAAACUCCUACGGGAGGCAGCAGUAGGGAAUCUUCCACAAUGGACGCAAGUCUGAUGGAGCAACGCCGCGUGAGUGAAGAAGGGUUUCGGCUCGUAAAGCUCUGUUGUUGGUGAAGAAGGACAGGGGUAGUAACUGACCUUUGUUUGACGGUAAUCAAUUAGAAAGUCACGGCUAACUACGUGCCAGCAGCCGCGGUAAUACGUAGGUGGCAAGCGUUGUCCGGAUUUAUUGGGCGUAAAGCGAGUGCAGGCGGCUCGAUAAGUCUGAUGUGAAAGCCUUCGGCUCAACCGGAGAAUUGCAUCAGAAACUGUCGAGCUUGAGUACAGAAGAGGAGAGUGGAACUCCAUGUGUAGCGGUGAAAUGCGUAGAUAUAUGGAAGAACACCGGUGGCGAAGGCGGCUCUCUGGUCUGUUACUGA
rnacentral:rRNA from 1 species